rnacentral:rRNA from 1 species
UAGGGAAUCUUCGGCAAUGGACGAAAGUCUGACCGAGCAACGCCGCGUGAGUGAAGAAGGUUUUCGGAUCGUAAAACUCUGUUGUUAGAGAAGAACAAGGACGUUAGUAACUGAACGUCCCCUGACGGUAUCUAACCAGAAAGCAACGGCUAACUACGUGCAAGCAGCCGCGGUAAUACGUAGGUGGCAAGCGUUGUCCGGAUUUAUUGGGCGUAAAGCGAGCGCAGGCGGUUUCUUAAGGCUGAUGUGAAAGCCCCCGGCUCAACCGGGGAGGGUCAUUGGAAACUGGGGGACUUGAGUGCAGAAGAGGUGAGUGGAAUUCCAUGUGUAGAGGUGAAAUGCGUAGAUAUAUGGAGGAACACCAGUGGCGAAGGCGGCUCUCUGGUAUGUAACUGACGCUGAGGCUCGAAAGCGUGGGGAGCAAACAGG